GGAAACGUCGGUGAUUGUUACGAAUCAUAAAUAAUCAAGAGUACUGAAGUUGCUGACAACUUUUUGCGAUCAACGAUAGGUACUCCGGUUUCGUCGAUGCAGUGAUGUUUGUGUUCAUCUUUCCUCUUCGGAUUCCCUCUCUAUAUCCAACGUACGACAAAUCACAAAGACAUUGCAACCUUAAUAAAACUCAACAUCCGUAAUCUUCAUCCUUCAACGG
rnacentral:lncRNA from 1 species